UACGAAGGUCCCAAGCGUUGUUCGGAUUUACUGGGCGUAAAGAGUACGUAGGCGGUAAAGUAAGUCAGAUGUGAAAUCCCGGGGCUCAACCUCGGAACUGCAUCCGAUACUGCUUUACUAGAGUAAUGGAGGGGCAUCUGGAAUUCACGGUGUAGCAGUGAAAUGCGUAGAUAUCGUGAGGAACACUAGUGGCGAAGGCGAGAUGCUGGACAUUUACUGACGCUGAGGUACGAAGGCCAGGGUAGCGAAAAGG
rnacentral:rRNA from 1 species